rnacentral:tRNA from 1 species
UAGCGCAGUUGGUAGCGCACCUCCAUGGCAUGGAGGGGGUCAGGGGUUCGAAUCCC